AUUGAGUCCAAAUGCUCAACGCUGCUAUUUAAUUCUCCCCCCCCCCCCCAAAAAAAAAAAUCUCCUCCCGUAUCACAAAGCUUGGUUUCUAACAAGCUUCUUGGACGAUUCGCACUGUUGAGCCUUUCUUUUCAAAUUCCAUUGGAAGGGAGUGAAAACAAGGGACACACCACAACAGACCUGAAAGUGAAAAUGCUUCGGAGACGAAAAUACAAAAUGGAUAGAGGGCCAGUCUCUCUCUCUCUCUCUCUCUCUCUCUUUUUCAUGGAGCUGAGCGAAAGAGACCGCCUGCUGUUCGGUUUCUAAUGCUGUUCCUUGGGCAAAACAAAAACAGAAGUGAUUCACCAUUUGUGAAUAAAACCGAGAUUGCGUGGAAGGCGAGCAGGGGGCAGGAAAGCUCUCUGGGAAGUUAACCUUCUCUCUUCUGGAAGCCUGUAUGUUCAGUUCUGCCGUAGAGAGCUGGGAGAUUGGUUUUGCCUCUGGCUCCAUUAUUAUUGUUAUUCCUCAAAGGGAGGGUCAAAUUUUUGCAUUUUGCACAAGCACUGUUGUCUCUUACCACUUUACAAGCUGCGUGGCUGAAACAGAGCAGUUAGCCAGAUUUUAAAACUUGGCACAGGGGCAGCUCAAUUCUCUCAAUGCUGAAAUGCUGCUAACACUCGGAUAUCUGGAAUGGUAAGCAAUAUUCCUUUCUCAGUACUUUGAAUAUCAGAUACACUGAUAGAUGCCACAAAUCACGCUAGCAGCAGUAUAAUCAAAAUAGGUAUUUAUUUAUCGUGUCAGAAGCGAAUUGAGAAUAUAGUUAUAAUGUAUGUGUAUAUAUAUAUAUAUAAGGUGUAUAUAAAGUAUAUAUAAAGUUAUAUAUAAUCAAAAUAGAUAAUAGGCAAUAUACGAUAGGCUAUGCUGACUUACUCCUGCCAACCUAGCAGUUCGAAAACAUGCAAAUGUGAGUAGAUCAAUAGGUACCGCUCCGGCGGGAAGGUAACGGCGCUCCAUGCAGUCAUGCUGGCCACAUGAUCUUGGAGGUGUCUACGGACAACGCUGGCUCUUCAGCGUUGGAGAUGAGCACCAACCCCCAGAGUCAGACAUGACUGGACUUAACAUCAGGGGAAACCUUUACCUUUAUGCUGACUUAAGGCAUGUUAAUAUAUGACUGUUGAAACAUGCUAAGAAGGAUUAUUUUAAAUAAUGAAUGUACUGCAUUAAAAACAUGUAAUUAAGAUUUCCCCCCUCUAUCGCUACUGUAACAUCCCAAGAAAUGAGAGAUUUUGUGUCUGGGGAGAACAAAUAGUGGAAGAUAUCGAACAUUUUUUGACUGACUGCCCAGCAUAUGCCGAACUUCGACACAGUUAUUUACAGGGUUGUUGUAUGUCUUUCGGGCUGUGUGGCCAUGUUCCAGAAGCAUUCUCUCCUGACGUUUCGCCCACAUCUAUGGCAGGCAUCCUCAGAGGUUGUGAGGUAUGGAUAAACUAAGUAAGGAAAGGAAAGAAUAUAUAUAUCUGUGUAGAGUCUGGGGUGUGGCAAGGGUCCUUUGUCACUGGGAGCCAGCAUUAAUGUUUCAGUUAAUCACCCUAAUCAGCCCGAAAGACAUACAACAACCCUGUGAUCCCGACCAUGAAAGCCUUCGACAACACAGUUAUUUACAUCCAUUACUAUCUAAUUUUAGGUCCCCCAACAGAAAUGAUCUUCUGACAGUCCUCUUGCAAGGACAAGAAAGAUCCACCAUAAUUAGAGUAAGCCUUUUUAUCCUGAAAGCUAUCAAGAAAAGAGCACAUUUCCUGAAAGAAGAAUCAGGAAAAUAAGAUUUUGUCGGCAAACAGAUGGUCAGCUGCCUGUCCUCCCAUCCUUUUUGCCUUGUUUUUAUUUAUGUUGCACUUUGAAAUGGUCAUAUGACUGGUCAAACAAAUAAAUUAUUAUUAUUAUUAUUAUUAUUAUUAUUAUUAUUAUUAUUAUUAUUAUUAUUAUUAUUUCCCCCCUCUAUAUGCCUCAAAAAGGGGAUUCUUUUGUUUGUUAUAUAAUUCCAUACAUUGGUCCUCCAUAUCAAGGGACUCUGCGUCCACAGAUUCAACUAUCCAUUUUGCCAUUCCGUAUAUGGGACACCAUUUCACUAUAGUAUUGUUUAUGAUGGGACUUGCGCAUCCAAGGAUUUUACUAUCCACAAGGAAUCCUGGAACCAAACCCCAACAGUUAGCAAAGGGCCCACUAUAUAUACAAACUGCUGUAUCUCUGCAUCCGCAAACAACUCAUAAAGGAAACUCUUGCCUCUUGAAAGGGUGGGGCAUAGAGUUUCCAAGGAUUACUGCCAAAUGCCUUUCCAGCACACAAACAGCCCCAACCAAGAUGAUGAACCCACAACAUAAGACAGCGGUUCUCAACCUGCAGGUCCCCAGAUGUUUUGGCCUUCAACUCCCAGAAAUACUAACAGCUGGUAAACUGGCUGGGAUUUCUGGGAGUUGUAGGCCAAAACACCUGGGAACCCACAGGUUGAAAACCACUGACAUAAGACCUAAUGAGAUAUUCUCAGUUUGAAGAGUUAUUUUUCAGAUUUCUUUCUGGCACAGAACAAUUAGAAAAACAUUAGAAUUAAUUAAACCAUUGUAACCUUGUGUAAUUGUAACAUGUUGCUAUUGUGAAAUAUACUGCUUUGAAAUUGGGUCCAUCCUGUACUUUUCUAUAUCAUCAUUUCUUGAUAGUCCAAAACUUAAAAUGAAUCGUUAAAAUGAUCUUAAUUUGUAGUAUUUUUUGCUGUUAGGCCUGUUUGAUAUAAAUAAAGACAAAAAUAAAGAAAUAUUAUUCGAUUGUAUGGUGACAACGGCAAGGAUGACCUGUGCUAAACUGUGGAAAAGCAAAGAAAUACCAGAAAUGGAGACUUGGAUAGCAAAGAUCAUGGAGAUCAUGAAUAUGGACAGGCUCACCUAUUUGUUAUCAACAAAUCAGGGUAAAGCAAGAAACAAACAGACUGGGAACCAUUUAGAGACUAUUUUAAAAAGGAGAAUAUAAAAACUGUAAUUUGAAAGACGAGAAAGAAGAAUUAAAAGAAAUAAAAAUAUUAACAAAAGAAACUGCUUCCUCAAGAAAAGACUAGUAGAGAAGAAAAAGCGAUGCCUGAAAAUCAGAAUAAGGACUACGGAUUGGGUGAGAAAUCGAUCUUCACUGAACACACUACGCAGCAGAUGGAAGUCAAUUUUUAUAUAUACAAUUUUUAUUUUAAUAUUUUUCUUUCUUUAUUUUUUCUCCCCCCCUUAUCUUACCUUUCCUCUCUAUGUUCACACCCUUUCUCCCUCUCCUUACCUAACCCUAACCCUAACCCUCCCCUCCUUCCUCCCCCCCCCAUAAAAAUUUCUCCUUACCCAAUUUUAUUUAUGUCAGUAAACCUUUAACAAUUUUUUAUUUUAAAAAAACAAAACAACAAAUAUAAAGCACAGAAUUUUCUACAUAUAAACCAGAGCAGCGGUUCCCAAACUUUUUUUUUGUCAUGGAACCCUUCAGAAGACCUUUUUUCCUGACUGAACCCUAACACAUUGUCACGUGUGUACUUUUAAUACGUUUUAAUAAGUUUUAAGCUUUUUAACUGUUAUUUUUAUAAUUAAUUUAAUUGUUAAUUUUUAAUGGUUCAAUUCUAUUUUAAUGUUUUAAUAUUUUUGGAUUUUAAAUUGUAUUAAAAUGCUUUUAAUAUGA